rnacentral:rRNA from 1 species
AUGAACGCUGGCGGCGUGCUUAACACAUGCAAGUCGAACGAAGACAUCUGAGUGCUUGCACUUGGAUGGACUGAGUGGCGGACGGGUGAGUAACGCGUGGGUAACCUGCCUUAUACAGGGGGAUAACAGUUGGAAACGACUGCUAAUACCGCAUAAGCGCACGGUAUCGCAUGAUACAGUGUGAAAAACUCCGGUGGUAUAAGAUGGACCCGCGUCUGAUUAGCUAGUUGGUGAGAUAACAGCCCACCAAGGCGACGAUCAGUAGCCGACCUGAGAGGGUGACCGGCCACAUUGGGACUGAGACACGGCCCAGACUCCUACGGGAGGCAGCAGUGGGGAAUAUUGCACAAUGGAGGAAACUCUGAUGCAGCGACGCCGCGUGAGUGAAGAAGUAAUUCGUUAUGUAAAGCUCUAUCAGCAGGGGAGAUAGUGACGGUACCUGACUAAGAAGCUCCGGCUAAAUACGUG